rnacentral:rRNA from 1 species
AACUGCGAUAGCAUUUGCCUAAAAUACUUCCAUUAAUCAAGAAGGCCUGUUAAGGGUGUGAAGACGAUCAGAUACCGUCGUAAUCUUAACCAUCAACUAUGCCGACUAGGCUUUGGAUGAGUGAUUUAAAAAUAAGGAUUUUCUCUUCGGAGUUUAUUCUUAGAUUGCUUCCUUCAGGGCCUUAUGAGAAAUCAGAGACUUUGGGUUCUGGGGCGGUUAAGCGCGCAUGCGAGAAAGUUAAAUGAGAUGAUGGAAAGGCAC